UACAGAGGAGCCAAGCGUUGUCCGGAUUGACUGGGCGUAAAGCGCACGCAGGCGGCACCGCGCGUGGGGUGUGAAAUCUGGCCGCUUAACGGCCAGGCGCCAUCCCAUACGGCGGAGCUGGAGCGAUGCAGAGGUCGAUGGAAUUGCCGGUGUAGUGGUGAAAUGCGUAGAGAUCGGCAGGAACACCCAGGGGGAAACCGAGUCGAC
rnacentral:rRNA from 1 species